CCCUUUGUGAACAUACCUUACUGUUGCUUCGGCGGGUUGGGGGGAUUCCGUCCCCCCCCCGGCCGCGCCCCUCGCGGGGCGUGGCGCCCGCCGGAGGAUACCCAGACUCUAUUUUAACGACGUCUCUUCUGAGUGGCACAAGCAAAUAAUUAAAACUUUUAACAACGGAUCUCUUGGUUCUGGCAUCGAUGAAGAACGCAGCGAAAUGCGAUAAGUAAUGUGAAUUGCAGAAUUCAGUGAAUCAUCGAAUCUUUGAACGCACAUUGCGCCCGCCAGCAUUCUGGCGGGCAUGCCUGUUCGAGCGUCAUUUCAACCCUCAAGCUCCGCUUGGUGUUGGGGCCCUACGGUCGACGUAGGCCCUUAAAGGUAGUGGCGGACCCUCCCGGAGCCUCCUUUGCGUAGUAACUAACGUCUCGCAUCGGGAUCCGGAGGGACUCUUGCCGUAAAACCCCC
rnacentral:rRNA from 1 species